UAACACAUACUGGAGAGAAACCCU
rnacentral:piRNA from 1 species